ensembl:lncRNA
CUGCAGAUCCAAUGAUGGAGGUUUGAGCUGAUUUCAGAACAGAGUGUCCAGUGUGUUUGUGAGGAAGAUGCAGUGGCUGUCAUUAUGCAGUCCUCACCAUUAGUAUGUAGAGGCCACUUUCAAAAUUUUGACCAGCCAAUCUCCUUCUUCUGUGUAGCAGCACUGUGAUUUCAUUUUGUCGGCUUCUCCACCUGCAUGAUGCUUUACACUGUAGCUGUGUGAAAAAAAGAAGAAGAGGGGGAACACCAAGUACUGAAAAAUAAAGUAACCACUUCAUCCUGGUCUGGGGAACAGUGGAUCUGGAGCCUGGGUGUUAGUUGGGAAUACACCUCGGAGAAUACACAGAGCAAGCCCAUGAGAUCAAACGCUGAAACUCCACACAGUUACCCAUGCUCAGGAUUAAACCAGGGAGCUGAAGUGGUGAGGUGGCAAUGCUACCUUAUAUGUGCCACCAUUCUGCCCACCUAGAAAGUGUGUGCGUAUUAUUUGUCUGUGCUCAUGAACCUCCAGGAAAUUAAUAUAUUUCCCUAUAAUUCAUAAAUAUAUUUUAUGAAUAAAAAUAAAAACAAAGUUUAUAAUAACAUAAUCCCAUCCAUCCAUCUUCUAUACCGCUUAUGUCACGAUUCCCCCUUGAAGCAGUGUGCUUUAAGCGCUGUCGACCGUAGUGACAUUGGGACACGUGUGUUUUGUUUAUGUUUGUCAUGUCUCCUCCCUGUUCCGUCAUUGGCUGGGAAGUCACGUGUGUCCGGAUUACCCUCAGCUGUUAGCAGUUGCGAGGGUAAUCAUGUCCGCAUAUAUACCGCGCGCUUCCCAGCACACAACGCGGAAGAUUAAGUAGUAAGUAAUAAGAAGUGAAUGUUUAGCGUUAUCAUAGUCAUAGUCAUAGUCAUAGUCAUAGUCAUAGUCAUAGUCAGUUCGCGCUGGAUAUCCGCUUCCAGUUCAUCGUCAUAGUUUGUUUCUUGUUUUGGUUAUCGACCUAGAUUCCUGCCUAGCCCCGUG